GCUGAGGCUCUGCCGCACCCCGUAGCGCCCCUUGAAACCGUGAGACCACUCGCCGCGGUACAUCCACCUGCCCUUCGUCUCCACGCCCAGCCCGUGGCGCUUGCCCUGCGCCCAGUAGCCCAGGGGAGAGUUGGGUGCCAUAACUGAUACUGUUGUCUCCUGUCAUCAUAAGAAGUGUGUGCUUCAAAGCCUUCUUUCUGUGCUGUAAGAGGAUUUCUAGUUCUGCUUGAAGAUGUGGCGGUAGAAGACAGUGCACACAUUUGGGCGCAUACAUACAAAGAGAAAAAGACCCAGUCAAAGACUUGUGCCUUUUCACAAGAAGAUGGAGAAGCUUUCAAUGCCCCUUUGACCCCGGACAAUUUUGUUCCAUAGUUUUGGAGUGUAGAAAACCAGACAAAAAUGUUGUUUCUGUAACACAGACAUGCAGUCUUCCAUGUAUCUUUGGGCAAGGCUUCAAAGUGUGCUGAAGUUAAGGACUGAGACCUUCACUGCAGUAUGGUAUUUUUGGAAAGCUGUUAUUGGGAAUGGAGGGGAAGUCUGAAAAUGUUGCGGUAGGUGGGAUUGCUGAAGAAGAUACAGUGCAGUAUUCCCUGAGUAUUGCUUGAGCUUACUGAGUUUUAUGCCCUACGUGUCUUGCAUUUCUUCCUCAAGAAAAAGAUUGGAAACAAUAGUGGUGACAAUACAUGUUCUUUGAGGAGUUUACUAUUUUCACUCAAUUUAUUUCCUGUUUUCUUUCUUCCAACAGAAGAUAAAGUCCUGUAAUGUUUGAAAAGAAUUAGGGAAUAUUGAAACACUGUAUGGUUUGGGGAACCACCUGUUGGAAGUCAGCAUGCAUAAUAAAUGAUACUGGUGUAGAAUUUUCUAGGCAUGGAUGUUGCCUAUUCAUAAUUGCAUGUUAUUAUAUGAAUAGACUUUUUUGAAGUUGUUGCAAUUGAACUGGAGCUGCUGAGCAUUGGGUAUGUCUGUUAUGGGGCUACUGUUGUAUUGCAUGGUAUUUCUGGGUGCUGUGUGCAUAAAUGAGGUGUGAAAUCAGAAUUGCCUUGAACAACAAUUCUGUGCCCUGUGCACAGCCAGAACACAACCAGCACGGAGGGGAGCAGAGGUGGGGUGUGGAAACGGAUUAGCAAAUCCAGACAGUGCUGCUGCACCUCGGCAGUGGAAGAGGUGCUCUGGUGAGGGAAUGGGAGAUUUGCCCGGCUCCUCUGUGGAUCUCAGCUGUUUCUUUGAAGGACCAGCUGUGUCCCUCUGCCUAGACAAUAAUCACAGUUGUGCAAAUCCUUUGCCAAGCUGGGUAUCUCUUUUGGCUCAGUAUUGGUAAAUGACUGGAUUUGCUGUUGUAAAGACUGGGGUAAUUACAGCCAUGAUCUGUUACUGUACUGUUAUUUAGCGAUGAAUUGUUUAUCCCUAAAGCUGUGGAUGCUCUGUCUCUUAGGGUAUCCCAAGCCUAUAGCUAAUCAGGGCUGCCUUAAGUUCUAGUAUCUUUACAGUAGAAGAUGUAGCAUUGCAAAAAUUAAAUAGGCAUCUGCCUAUUAGUCCUUUGUUUUACCCCCUUGAUUUAAAUUUUCCAGAUUUUAAUACUAGAUUAGCUGAACCAACAAGAUCAGGUGGGCCAGAGAUGAACAGUGAAAAUUUCAGGAAGGAAUUUUUCUUUUGUUAUCAUAUGUAUGUCGUGACCUGCAAAUGAUACUAAAAUCAGUGGUAAUUUUGCAUGUGGUUGAUAUUUCCAGGUGUACUUAUUUAAAUGAGGUAAUCAAUUUAAAUGAACUUGAUGCUUGAUGGCAAGAUAAAUUCAUCACUGCCAGCCUUCUCUUAUUAUAUUUUCAGCGGGGGAUAAAUUUUAAUAGAUAUGAGAAUAGAAGUGCUUUGCAGAGAACUCCCAGCAUCACUUAGACAGGUCUUGAUGAUGUAAGAAGCCACAGGUGUCUCAUUGCUGAUGAGGUUGUAGAUUUAUUAUUUGUUUUUUUGUUUGGGUUGUCUUUUUUUGGUAACAGAUUUUGCAUUGACGGGUCUCAACUUCAGUUCAAGCCACAUAAUAUUUGCUUCUGGCCACAGUGUAAGUAAUGCUCAUAUUCAACCUUUAGCAUGUAUAUGUUAAAUACCUUAGAUCCACAGAUUUUGUUUCCUUUCCUUCUUCCCAGAUGAAAUUAAAAAUUAUUCUACAACUCCAUAGCUGCAGGAACUAAGCAGUUACAGGUAUAUGAAGGAGUUUCUUUUUUUGUCCAAAGUAAAUGGAAUUAAUUCUACUACUUUUUAAAUCUACAUUACAAGAGCUCUUUUCUGAAAUCUUUCAUGCAUGUAAUACUCAAAAAAAUACAAGGGCCAGGUGCAGUUUAUUAAUUAUUUGCAAAAAAGUCAUCACAGCACUAGUCAGAUGACACUAUAUGUAUGCAAAACAUGAGUACCUGAUGACACAGUAUGUAUGCAAAAACUGUGCUGCAGGGUUACAUUUAAAAAGGUCCUUGCUGUAGGGAGGGAAGGUGCAGCAGGUGAAGAUACAGACAUUUAAUAUUAACUCCAGACAUCUAAUAUUAAUUGGAUACAAAACUGCUGAGUUCAAACUAUUAGUCUAUAGAUAUCUGAUGCAUGAAUAAAAAUUAGGCACAUUUAUUCUUACUCUUAAAAGCCUGAUUCAGCAGGGAAUUACUUUAAGUACUUUAGUAAUCCCAUUUACUUCACUGGGACUACACAUGAGCUUUAAAUUAAACAUCUGCAACAUAUCUGUGCUCAAAUAAAGCAAAGCUCCAAAGUCUGUUCUCAAGUGCUUUGCAGAAUGGAGGCAGGAUGUUUCACUGAUGAGCUCCACGCCUCACACGUUGUAUCGGAGGAGUUCACACACAGAACUGCUGUGUGGGAGGCAGAAAUACAGAAGUAAAGAUAGUACAAAUCUCAUAGUGUAGAAAUUUCAAAGGCAAGUAGGUCUUUUCUGGCUCUGUAGGAAUAGCCUCGACUUUUAUGCCAAGUUUUGUGUCUGGAGUCUAUGUUAAAGUUUUAAAACAUAGUUCUGUAUAACUUUAACACAAGUAAUUUUGCCUGACUUCUAGAACAGGAACAUAACACUUUUUCCUUAUACAUUGUAAAUCCAUGUAAGUUAGUGUAAAUACUGAAGCAGUAAUUCUAGAGGAUGUUUUUUUGAAUCUACUAUAAUAUUUGAGCAAUGCUGUGUUAUGAAUAGGUGUAUCAGUGUCAGUUCUACCUCACAGUUGAAGCUGGGACCUAGCCAGUAAGACAGUAUAUUUAAUUCCAGAGAUAUUGUGCUUACUCGGUGAAUACAGUUAUUAUUUUCCUUGCAAAAGUGCUGAUAAAGCUUAGAAAAAAAACAAAAAUACAGAUCCUCUUCUAAUUUGAAAACAGGAUGAGUAUGUUCUUUACCCAGACUUCUAUUUUCAGCAUUGUUCCAAGCAACUGAAUUAGAUUUGAAAUAAAUAUACAGUUUGUUUUUAAGGAAAUGCAGCAUUUAUGUUGAACACCUUUGUCUUUGAAGUGAUUUUAACAGUAACAGAAAUCUCUAUUCAAAUAAGGUACAGUGUGUUGAAAUGAUUUUUCUUAAAGUAGAAAGAUACUACAAUAUUUUAUUAUAGUGGAAAAAUAUGAAAUAUUGUUCCUGGAUCUUGUCAAUAUUUGGAGUUUUGUUGUUGGUUGGUUUGGGUUUUUUUUUUUUAUAUGUAUCUACAGAACAAAAAUGAGUGAAUCACUAUACCUUAAUCGAUUUAUAAAGAAGAAAAGAAUCUAACUCCUUAUUUAUUUUAUAUUAUAACACUUGAUGUGAGGAAAACUGUCAUACCGGUGAUUAAAUCAGCAUUCAGAUUAUAUAGAUUAUUAUUAUAGGAAGAUACUUAGAAAAUCAGAUUUAUCCCCAGUAAAUGUUUCCUAAAUGACGAUAGGAAAUGUGAAACUGCUGUAGUUCAAGUCUUGUUUCCUUGGGGAAGAGGGGAAAGGUUUAUGGAUUUCCCCUUUGGAGCAAAUUCCCAUUUCUGAAAAUGGCUUGUCUAGUCUUGCUUGAGCAUUUUUCUUUAGCCUAAGGAGUGUUUGUGAUGCAUUAUUUUCUUGUAGACCUCAUGAUUGUCCCAGUUGCUAUUGUCUGGACUUUACCUAAUUAUGUUAUGUUAUUAGUUGCUAAAAUGUGAUUUCAAAUACAAACCACACUAUUUGGCUAAUAUUGUGUCAUGUUAAAGUAGCAUAAUUCUCUGUGACUCCCAAAUGGCAUUAUUCCUUUUACACUGGUGCCAGGAAUUGGCAGUAUGGCAAUUCUGUUCUCCACACAACAUGAUGUGUAAAAACACAUCUUCAGUUUGUGAUUUGCUGUUGUCCUAAUCCUUUCCCAUAGAAUACCGUUUAACUAGUUGCUUGCCACUUUCUAUUAGUGAAGCUGAAUUUCACUUAGCAGGUUUUCACUAGCACACUCUUUUUUUUCUACUUUGAAAUUAUGCUCCAAAUUUAAUUUUCAGUUUUAAUUCCACAUUGAAGUUCCUCACAGGAUUUUAUUAACAGUUUGCCCUUUUGCAUGUGUAAUAACUGAACUCUUCCAAGAUCAAAGUUAUUCAUGAAGGUAUUGAAUAUUAAAACAUUUGGUACAAAUAUUUAUUUGGUACAAAUGCUUUAAUAUUCAAUAUACAUUUCAUACAUCCUUCAGGCUUGGGACUUAAUAAUUAAUGACCAUUACUUAGUAACUAUAAACCAUGUGUAGACUCUUACAACUUUACUUAAAUCACGUUUAACAAACAUCAGCAGCUUUGCUGAAGUCAAAAUAUAUAAUAUCUCUUUAAUGAAGGCUGAAACAGAAAAGCUUUUAGCACUUUGGUUUAUCUCACUGGUGUGGCUGAAAGCUUUUUCUCCCCACUGAGCAGCGGUACAGCCCUUCCCUUCACCAUCCUCCUCCUCCUCUAGGGCUGUCUGUUUCCUUUUCUGUUCCUAACUAAGACUCAUUCUGUGAUUUGCCCUUUCUGAUUUUGCCCCUGCAUACUUCUACUCUUCCCUAAAAUUCAUCCUUUAGUAAUCUGACCUGCUUUUUACUUGUGUAUACUUCUAGCGUUUCAGGAUCCUCAAAGAGUUCUCAAUUUAGUCAAGUUUAUCUCAUGAUACUCAUCUUAUUUUCCCUUUUCAUCGAGGUAGAUUCUGUUUAUGCCCUUCACACUAUUUUCACAUUAUAUUCACAUUAUAUUUACAGAUUUCUCUCUUUGGGCUUUAUAAUAAAAUAAAACCUAGUAGAGACCAAAUCUUAAGUUUGUGAGUUUUACAGGGCAGUCUUGGCAGGUACUGGCUUGAGAUAGUCUCAUGCCCCCAACCCUCUGUGCUGCCAGCACAACUGUUUCUUCAGUGAGCUGUGAUUUGGAUCAGGAAACCAAUCCAGCUUAAAAAUAAUCCAGCAAAAAGAUUUAUUUUUGUUUUGCUCUUAAAGCUGAAUCCAUUGCUCUCUUUGCAGAACAUCUAUGCAAACAAUUGCCCUAAUGCAAUUGAAAGCAUACAGAAAAGAUGGCAGCUUUACUGUUUACCUUGUUUGGGAUUCCAUUCUCUUUUUCUAGGAAUUACAAAUAACAUUUUCUCCAAAAUCUUUCACCCAAGUUGCCUUCAGUCUUGCACUUCCAGUCAAUUUUCCCGCUGUUGGUUGAAAAAGAGAUAUUCCAUAUUUGUUGUAGUCACAUACCUGCUCAAUAACAAAACUUUUCCUUGUACAACGGCCUUUCAGUAGCUGAGGGAAGGCUACAAGAAACAUGGAGACUAUCUAAAAGAGUAUGUAGUGACAGGACAAGGGGAAUUACUUCAAACUGCAAGAAUGUAGGUUUAAGUUAGAUAUAGGAAGAAAUUCUUUACUGUGAGCUUGGUGAGGCACUGUACCAGGUUGCCUGGAAAAGCUGUGGACUCCCCCAUCCUGAGAAAUGUUCAAGGCCAGGUUGGAAGUGGCUCUGAGCAACCUGGUCUAGUGGAAGGUGUCCCUGCCCAUGGUAGGGAGGUUGGAAGUGGGUGUUUUUUUAUGGACCCUUCCAACCCAAGCCAUUCUAUGAUUCUGUAUUGUAAUGAUCCUGUAGUACCUUCCCAACAGGUCCCUUGGUUGUUGAAGUCCCCCAUGUUCGCCCUGUUACGUGCUUUGAUGAUCCAGCAGCAGCACCCAAAGCUCUUGAGUCCUACAGAUUUUCAAGGUGCCUGAGGAGGACCAAAACCUGAUUGAAGCUUUUCUAAUUGUUUGGAGGAUUUGUAUUAACUCUCACAUCAGGUAAGAAUUGGGGUUGUUUCAUAUUUAUUUGUUAGAGAUGUGCAAAGCAUCUCUCUUCUGCCUUGAUGGGUACUUUGUGGCUGCGCUAUUUUUAAGUUGUAGGAAUAACAUUCUUUUGAGAUCUUAAUUUCUCUGGUAAUUUUCAUGUAAAUUAGCUAAUGAAUUAAAUAAUUUUUAUACAUAUUGCUUUAAUACCUUAGGACAAAAUAGUUCAGUGGCCUUCCUGCUCACCGUGAUGCUAUUUUUUUGAAUACCUCUAUUGAGAGUUAUAUACCACUUAUAUCUUCCCAGCAAUCUAGGCUUUUUGCCAUGUUUUAGGCCACUUAUUAAUUGAAAAUCCUCCUUUAUUAGUUAGCAUUUUCAUCACCAGUGAUUACAGACCUUCACAGAGCUCUGGUAAAAAGAAUUCCUUCAUCAAACAGACAGCUCUGCAGUGUUUCUGUCUCAUGUGACUCCAGUGAAGGAGACCAGAGCUCUGCAGAUCAGACCAGGAGACCUUUGCAGUGGUGAGAGCACCUCAAAGAAGGCAUCCAUCCCAGCUUCUGUAGGAACCACAGUUCUUCAGCUACUCCCUGGAGUUUGCAGCUCGUUAUGAUCUGCCUUGAUUUUAUCAGGCAGAUUUUAUCAGAAAUAGGGAUGAGGCCAUAUCAUACCAUAUCAUUCUGCACUCACACCUAAUUUUGUCUUAACAUGGGAUGUCCUGUGAAUUUCUUUGGUGUUUUUCUUAUAAAAAUUGAUUUUUUUAAAAUGAGUGGUGAUAAAUUAAUGUUAAAAUAGCAAUUAGAUAUGAUAUUUCUAAUUUUAAAGGACAUUUUAAAGGCUUUGGCUAAUGUCACACUCCUGUUUUGCUGUGCUGGAUCAGAACAAACAACUGUUGCAUUUCACCAAUGAAUUAGUGUUGGUGCUUUUUAUACCUCAGAUAAUUGGUUCUUCUGAGUGAAUCCAUUUGUGAAAUUAUCUGAAAGUCAUUGCCAUUUUAAAUAUGACAGUGUUUCAAGUUUGUUGCUGUUUGUUUUUUGUUUGGGUUUUUUUUUUUAGUUUAUGAUGGAGCAAAUAAGACAAGUGCUACCAGAGGUGCAAAAGCUGAGGGUUUUGAUGUUUGAUACUGAAUGUAAUAUGAAUAUUUUGGGUGCAGUAUAGUCACUUUUGAGAUAUGUUUCCAUUAACAAAGUCUGCAAUAGAGGAAUUUGGAGGACAUUAUCAUAGGUCUAAGCAGGCUGUGCUGCAAAGACCAUUAAUAGAAAGGCACUCCCUCAAUCUGCUUAAACUUGGGUGAGGAUAAUGCGGAUUACUCUGAUUUUUUGAUAAAACAGUAAAAGACAAACAGAUGCUUUUAUGCCUGAGUUGAGAAGUGCACCCUAUUGAUAAGUUUCUUCUACUUCUUCAGGAAUAUUUGUCCCAGGGAAGAAAAUUUUUCUCACCACAGCUAACAUGCAAGUCAAAUACCUUAAUGUAUUUUGAUACUUAAGUUUAUAUAAAAGAAUAUAGCAAGGGUUAGUGCAUCAUAAUCAGCCUAACCAAUGAAUUAAACCUCCCAGCUGGUAUGAGAUUUCAUUUUUUCUUCAUUUGCUUCUCUUCUAUUGGCCAUUUCAGAGCUUGUAACAUGAUGUUUUUAUAUGAUGAAGAAACCUGUUCCCUGUGUGGAUUACAAUAUCAGCCCCCUCUGCAUCCUGAAAACUGGCUUUCUUAGAAAAUGCACUUACUGUAAUACCUCAUUGCUGCAAAAUGGUUUUGUACUUGUCUGCUGAAAUUUCACUUAAAGAUUAGAUUCUGCAUUUUGGAAGACACAACCAACAAUGCAACCAACAACCAGUGUUGUGCAGGUGCAGAACAGUUUUUAUGCUCUUGUUUUGGUGAAUUCACAUGAAUUUGUGUUUGCAGCUCUGCAUGUGAAUAAGUUAUGUAUAUCUGCGUUGUGUGUUUCUGGUAAGUACAAUAUAGACAUUGGAUAAAUUAGUAUUUGCAGUAUUUUUUCCUAAAAACAAACUGUAUUAUUUGGAGAGUUUUAAGCCUUAAAUUUUGUUUAAAAGUAAGUUUUGGUUUUUAUUUCUCUAGCUGUAGAGUCUAAACCAGGUUUUGUAGUGCUUUUUAUCAAAGUAUCAUCCUUUAGAAACUGCAGUUGUCAUAGUAAGAAACAUCCUUUUAUGUAGACAUUUAUGAUCUUGUUCAAAAGGAUCUUUAUGAAAAAUUAUCCAUUAAUUGACAAUUAGUUGAAUAUUACUUUUUGUAAAUCACCUAUACUUUGUAUUAAGUAUGUAACAGUGGAAUUUAAUCUAAGAUUCUGCAGAAUAUGAAAAUAUCUCUUCUCUGAUAGUGUCUGCUCUAAUAAUGGAAUCUGUGUCCUCCUAAUAAUACACUGUAUUUAAAAACAAAUUGUCAACAACCUGCAUGGUAUUUGGUUAUGUAAGGUACAAAGCAUUUGAUUAUAUAAGGUAGAAAGUUUUUUUUUCAGCCAAUUUGAGCAGUAAAACUGAUUUUGAAAUUCCUUUAUUUCAUGUGAUAGCAUUGCAAAAAUUUUGUUCAUUCACCCACAGAUAUCUAGCUGCUGUUUUUGCUUAUAAGAAGUUCUGCCAUGAAAACAAAAAUUUAAUAGAGCUGGAGGACUGUUUCUGUGAUACAACAUGCUAAAGUUAGAAGCUGGAGUUUGCAAUUUUGUCUUCACCUGUAAGGGGAUAUAGUUUUAUGUAAGUUUGAGACUGCAGUUUUUGUCUAAUGAAACUUUAAAUCAGAUUUUAUUUUUACCAGCUAGCUGCAUAUUUGCAAAAUUAGGCCAAAUUAAAUAUUUAAAAAAUAUCAGCCAAUUUUGAAAAUUUAUGAUGUCAGGAUGUUCUUACCUUAAAUUUCAGUAACCAGAAAGGAAAUGAAUCUGGCAUCAUGCAACUUUGUGAUUCUCCAGUUCUAGUGCUGAAGAGAUGAAAAAAAUAGAAAAUGUGAUCUUUUCUGUGCUAUUUGGUGUCAGUGGCAUGUUUCUAGAUUAAAAAAAAUAAUAUUGGCAAAAUGAUAACCUUUGAAGUGUGAAAAAAUGUGCAUAUUAUUUUAAUCAGAAAUUUUGUUGGGUUUUUCAUUUGUUUGGGUUUUUAAAAUUUUUUACUCAUUUCUCUUACAAAGUCUAGCAUAGAUAGGUUGGGUUUAAUCAAUGACUGGAAGUGCCUGGCUCAUUUAGCUGGCUAUUGAAUGAGUUUCACUUUGUAAACUACUUGCCUGAUUUUGGAAAAGGUGAUCCUACGUGCACAAUUGCUUUAACAAAUACAGAAUUUCCCCCCCUUCUUUCACAGUUUUUGGGAGACACAGCUGCUGUCCACAUUUUGAAGUGUUGUGCAGAGCUGGAGCUACUGUGUUACCACUGUCUGGGUUAAGGGUUCAUUUAUAUGGGGAUAAAUAAGCUUGUGCCCCCAUAAUAAUUUGAAUUAUUUUAUGAGGUAAUACUUUUCUUUAUCUUCUUAUGGUUUUAUUUUUUUUAGAUGGAACCUAAAAAUCAUAUCUACCUAGAGUACAAAAUCUUUAACACGAUUAUUGAAAUAAGACUGUGUGUGUGCUUGAAGCUGUUAGAAUGGAAGUCUUCAAUAUGCAAGUAUGCUUGCUACCAGUAAAUUUUGUUUUAUUUCAUCCUGUCAUGCUGGGAGUGAGUGUUGAAAGACGAAUGGGCAAGUGUUGCUCAGGCAGAGGGGAGAAGCACGUCAUCCAGCCCCCAGAAUAGCAUCGGCAGUAAAUACGGUCAUGCUGUUCCUCCCCGAGAUAGACCCAGAUCACAUUCGUAGCACCCACCGGGUCUGCUGCUUACCAGACCUUCAGGCCUUUGAUGAAACAUUUACAAAUGCAGCUGCAGUUCAGAGGGAUCUUCUGCCAGCACUGAAAUAGCUGACAUCAAGAAAACGGGAGGAAACGGGAUCAGAAGGCAUGGAGUUCAAACAAAAUGCAGUUUAGGGGGAAUACACAUUUCAUCACAGUAUGAAAACACUGCUCUGAGAUAUGAACCCUGUAUUUGUUAAGACUGCUGUUUCAUGUUACCUUAGGUUUUCCAGUGACUUAGAACUGCUAAAGCAUGAAGCUUUUGUAGAGGAGGAAACGUGAACUGAAAAACAGCUCUUUGUUCAACUGUCUUGGGUCACACACAAUGUCAAAACUGAAAUUAAAAUGUAUUGUAAAGUGAAAUCAGAGAGAAGCUGAAAUUAAAUUUUUUUUUUCAAGUU